CCUACGGGAGGCAGCAGUGAGGAAUAUUGGGCAAUGGACGAGAGUCUGAACCAGCCAAGUAGCGUGAAGGAUGACUGCCCUAUGAGUUGUAAACUUCUUUUAUAUGGGAGUAAAAUGUUCCACGUGUGUGAUUUUGUAUUUACCAUAUGAAUAAGGAUCGGCUAACUCCGUGCCAGCAGCCGCGGUAAUACGGAGGAUCCGAGCGUUGUCCGGAUUUAUUGGGUUUAAAGGGAGCGUAGGUGGGUUGUUAAGUUAGUUGUGAAAGUUUGCGGCUCAACCGUAAAAUUGCAGUUGAAACUGGCAGACUUGAGUACAGUAGAGGUGGGCGGAAUUCGUGGUGUAGCGGUGAAAUGCGUAGAUAUAACGAAGAACUCCGAUGGCGAAGGCAGUUCACUGGACUGCAACUGACACUGAGGCUCGAAAGUGUGGGUAUCAAACAGGAUUAGAUACCCCUGUAGUC
rnacentral:rRNA from 1 species